UAGGGAAUAUUGCGCAAUGGGCGAAAGCCUGACGCAGCAACGCCGCGUGGGGGAUGAAUGCCCUCGGGUUGUAAACCCCUUUCAGCAGGGACGAAGCGAAAGUGACGGUACCUGCAGAAGAAGCCCCGGCCAACUACGUGCCAGCAGCCGCGGUAAUACGUAGGGGGCGAGCGUUGUCCGGAAUUAUUGGGCGUAAAGAGCUCGUAGGCGGUUUGGCAAGUCGGAUGUGAAAACCCGGGGCUCAACCCCGGGAGGCCAUUCGAUACUGCCAUGACUAGAGUCCGGUAGGGGAGUGUGGAAUUCCUGGUGUAGCGGUGAAAUGCACAGAUAUCAGGAGGAACACCGGUGGCGAAGGCGGCACUCUGGGCCGGUACUGACGCUGAGGAGCGAAAGCUAGGGGAGCGAACAG
rnacentral:rRNA from 1 species